rnacentral:lncRNA from 1 species
CCUCUCUUUCAAUCAAUUUACCACCUCAUAGAGGCUGGGCAGCCACAGAACACAAAAAAAUUUAUGGGGAUUUCAAAAGUACAUCCCUCGAAGCUGCUGAAUCAGCUAAUGUGGCUGCCAUAAGCUAUCUACAAGGAAACAACAUAGCAGUGUUUGAUGAUGCAAACCUACAGCCCCUGAAGAAAUGCAGAAGAGAACUUCUACAAGCAACAUCCUGGUCAUGGGGUUUUGAGCAAUCUACUAUGCAUCUUAAAAAACAAGUUGAAGCCAUGGAAAGAGAUAGGGUGCAACCAUUAACAUUACUGCUUUCAUCCAAUGAUGACGAUCCAAAUACACCACUUCUUCAGGUAUAUUAGACAUUCUUUUGUCUUACUUUGUGUACCAGUUUUACACAUACAAAAAAUAGCUUAUGUAUAUCUCAUUACAAGUUUCAGGAACCCGAUGAAGAAUUGGUUCCAACACCUGAAGCAGAACCACAGUUUAAUGGCAGCGCAAUGAACACACCGCCAGCUGAAGUGAUCUCUAACCUCUU